rnacentral:rRNA from 1 species
UACGGAGGGUGCGAGCGUUGUUCGGAAUCACUGGGCGUAAAGGGCGUGUAGGCGGUCCGCUAAGUCUGAUGUGAAAGCCCGGGGCUCACCCCCGGAAGUGCAUUGGAAACUGGCGGACUCGAGUCCCGGAGAGGAGAGUGGAACUCCUGGUGUAGCGGUGAAAUGCGUAGAUAUCAGGAGGAACACCGGUGGCGAAGGCGGCUCUCUGGACGGUGACUGACGCUGAGACGCGAAAGCGUGGGGAGCAAACAGG